UACCAGCUCUUCGAGUGGUGUGGAUGUUUAUUGGGCCUAAAGCAUCCGUAGCUGGCUGGGCAAGUCCCCUGUUAAAUCCACCGAUUUAAUCGUUGGAGUGCGGGGGAUACUGUUCGGCUAGGGGACGGGAGAGGCAGACGGUAUUUUCGGGGUAGGGGUGAAAUCCUAUAAUCCCGGGAAGACCACCAGUGGCGAAGGCUGUCUGCUAGAACGCGCCCGACGGUGAGGGAUGAAAGCUGGGGGAGCGAACCGGAUUAGAUACCCGGGUAGUCCCAGCUGUAAACGAUGCAGGCUAGGUGUUUGGGCGGCCACGUGCCGCUCUAGUGCCGCAGGGAAGCCGUUAAGCCUGCCGCCUGGGGAGUACGGCCGCAAGGCUGAAACUUAAAGGAAUUGGCGGGGGAGCACCACAAGGGUGAAGCUUGCGGCUU
rnacentral:rRNA from 1 species